GCCAAAUAUAGUAUUCUUUGGAGAAAAGUUGUUUCAAGUUUUGGUGUCUCUGCCCUACUAUUGCCCAGGGCUUGUGUUCACCUUUGUCCUUCCUUUGUUCUCAUCACCUGAGUCAGAUGAUGGACAAGACAGCUCAUGACCACGAAUCAGCCAGAGAAAGAGCUGAAGGGCCCAGCAUGAAGUCUUUGUUCCCAAGAGGUGGUGUGGUACCUGGGGACCAUUAUGACAACAUACACCACCUAGGGGGCCCUCUAUGGAUGACAGCUCCUCCUGUGAGUCACCCUUCUCCCUUCGCAGCGUGGGUCUCGACACCCUGUGCCUCUUUGCUCCCGUUUUUCUCCUGUUAUCAGAAUCUUGUCUAGAUGCUUGAGCCCCAAACACACUUCUCUACAGCCCUGGCCCUUCUGCCCAUCCUAGCGAUGCAGGAAAGAAGGCAGAAAAGAAACAAGAGAAGCCAAAGCCAUUGGCUUUCAUGUAUUUCUUCUUCUCUUUAGAGUUCAUAAAUCUGCAGUUUAUCUAAAGUUUUCCAGUGUUUUCAAAUUUGGCACCCCAGCAGCAACAGCCCAUGAACACCAGCUCUGCAGACUCAUGUACACACUUGAUAAGAUUCGCCCUGGAGCUAUGCUGCCAGUAGUCACCCGAGCUGAUGCGUGGAGCCCAGAAGAUCCGUUCUCUAAAAAUGAAGAGGAAGCCCACUAUUUUCCACAAGGGCCCAGCACUGCAGACAGUCUAAACAUGAACAGAGAAGCGUGCUUCCAGAAAUUGGAACAAAGUCCUGGGAAAGCAGAAGGAACUGGCUUAGACACGGAUUUUGAUUCUAGAAUGGACGUUGGUGAGGAACAACACAGGAGGGAGCAAACUACUGGGCUUGAGUCUAAGAUCCAUGAAGGGGUGAGCAAGAGAUGUCCUGUAUUCAUGCACCACCCACCAUGGACCAGCAUGGAGCAUAUGUCUCAAAGACCCUAAGGACACAAGCAGCAUGUUAAUUCUGGCUUUUAACAGACUUCAAAAUCACAAAAAACAGUCACCGAAACCCUGAGCAGAGGUCAGCCUGUCCUAUUUGCGUGUCUCCACUUGGCGUAUUAAAGCCGCAGGGUUGCCGGGCUGGGAUGCACAUCCGGGGUUCUUCACCAAGGUACCAGUUACUCACCUGUUUCACCCCAAGACGCCUAAGCCAGCUGGAGAUGCCCCGUCCCCACUCCGGCCCUCGGUGACAUCUCACCGCAGAGGCUCGCACACCGAGGGCCGCGGCCACCCCCGCCACCCUCACUCGUUAGCGCAGACCCAGGGAGACGCCUGCGGGGUCAUGGGCCAGGUGGCGUGGACACAGGAUGUGUCACUGACUCCAUCAGAACAGCAGUCCCAUCUCUGGAAGCAUCAAGAAUUGUGCCUUCUUGAAAAUUCACCCAUAUUGACAAAUUGUUGUUUCCAAUCUUAGGUUAUGC
rnacentral:lncRNA from 1 species